rnacentral:rRNA from 1 species
GAUUAAGUUAUUAAGGGCGCACGGUGGAUGCCUUGGCACUAGAAGCCGAUGAAGGACGUUACUAACGACGAUAUGCUUUGGGGAGCUGUAAGUAAGCUUUGAUCCAGAGAUUUCCGAAUGGGGAAACCCAGCAUGAGUUAUGUCAUGUUAUCGAUAUGUGAAUACAUAGCAUAUCAGAAGGCACACCCGGAGAACUGAAACAUCUUAGUACCCGGAGGAAGAGAAAGAAAAUUCGAUUCCCUUAGUAGCGGCGAGCGAAACGGGAAGAGCCCAAACCAACAAGCUUGCUUGUUGGGGUUGUAGGACACUCUAUACGGAGUUACAAAGGACGACAUUAGACGAAUCAUCUGGAAAGAUGAAUCAAAGAAGGUAAUAAUCCUGUAGUCGAAAAUGUUGUCUCUCUUGAGUGGAUCCUGAGUACGACGGAGCACGUGAAAUUCCGUCGGAAUCUGGGAGGACCAUCUCCUAAGGCUAAAUACUCUCUAGUGACCGAUAGUGAACCAGUACCGUGAGGGAAAGGUGAAAAGCACCCCGGAAGGGGAGUGAAAUAGAACCUGAAACCGUGUGCUUACAAGUAGUCAGAGCCCGUUAAUGGGUGAUGGCGUGCCUUUUGUAGAAUGAACCGGCGAGUUACGAUUUGAUGCAAGGUUAAGCAGUAAAUGUGGAGCCGUAGCGAAAGCGAGUCUGAAUAGGGCGUUUAGUAUUUGGUCGUAGACCCGAAACCAGGUGAUCUACCCUUGGUCAGGUUGAAGUUCAGGUAACACUGAAUGGAGGACCGAACCGACAUACGUUGAAAAGUGAGCGGAUGAACUGAGGGUAGCGGAGAAAUUCCAAUCGAACCUGGAGAUAGCUGGUUCUCUCCGAAAUAGCUUUAGGGCUAGCCUCAAGUGAUGAUUAUUGGAGGUAGAGCACUGUUUGGACGAGGGGCCCCUCUCGGGUUACCGAAUUCAGACAAACUCCGAAUGCCAAUUAAUUUAACUUGGGAGUCAGAACAUGGGUGAUAAGGUCCGUGUUCGAAAGGGAAACAGCCCAGACCACCAGCUAAGGUCCCAAAAUAUAUGUUAAGUGGAAAAGGAUGUGGCGUUGCCCAGACAACUAGGAUGUUGGCUUAGAAGCAGCCAUCAUUUAAAGAGUGCGUAAUAGCUCACUAGUCGAGUGACACUGCGCCGAAAAUGUACCGGGGCUAAACAUGUUACCGAAGCUGUGGAUUGUCCUUUGGACAAUGGUAGGAGAGCGUUCUAAGGGCGUUGAAGCAUGAUCGUAAGGACAUGUGGAGCGCUUAGAAGUGAGAAUGCCGGUGUGAGUAGCGAAAGACGGGUGAGAAUCCCGUCCACCGAUUGACUAAGGUUUCCAGAGGAAGGCUCGUCCGCUCUGGGUUAGUCGGGUCCUAAGCUGAGGCCGACAGGCGUAGGCGAUGGAUAACAGGUUGAUAUUCCUGUACCACCUAUAAUCGUUUUAAUCGAUGGGGGGACGCAGUAGGAUAGGCGAAGCGUGCGAUUGGAUUGCACGUCUAAGCAGUAAGGCUGAGUAUUAGGCAAAUCCGGUACUCGUUAAGGCUGAGCUGUGAUGGGGAGAAGACAUUGUGUCUUCGAGUCGUUGAUUUCACACUGCCGAGAAAAGCCUCUAGAUAGAAAAUAGGUGCCCGUACCGCAAACCGACACAGGUAGUCAAGAUGAGAAUUCUAAGGUGAGCGAGCGAACUCUCGUUAAGGAACUCGGCAAAAUGACCCCGUAACUUCGGGAGAAGGGGUGCUCUUUAGGGUUAACGCCCAGAAGAGCCGCAGUGAAUAGGCCCAAGCGACUGUUUAUCAAAAACACAGGUCUCUGCUAAACCGUAAGGUGAUGUAUAGGGGCUGACGCCUGCCCGGUGCUGGAAGGUUAAGAGGAGUGGUUAGCUUCUGCGAAGCUACGAAUCGAAGCCCCAGUAAACGGCGGCCGUAACUAUAACGGUCCUAAGGUAGCGAAAUUCCUUGUCGGGUAAGUUCCGACCCGCACGAAAGGCGUAACGAUUUGGGCACUGUCUCAACGAGAGACUCGGUGAAAUCAUAGUACCUGUGAAGAUGCAGGUUACCCGCGACAGGACGGAAAGACCCCGUGGAGCUUUACUGUAGCCUGAUAUUGAAAUUUGGCACAGCUUGUACAGGAUAGGUAGGAGCCUUUGAAACGUGAGCGCUAGCUUACGUGGAGGCGCUGGUGGGAUACUACCCUAGCUGUGUUGGCUUUCUAACCCGCACCACUUAUCGUGGUGGGAGACAGUGUCAGGCGGGCAGUUUGACUGGGGCGGUCGCCUCCUAAAAGGUAACGGAGGCGCUCAAAGGUUCCCUCAGAAUGGUUGGAAAUCAUUCAUAGAGUGUAAAGGCAUAAGGGAGCUUGACUGCGAGACCUACAAGUCGAGCAGGGUCGAAAGACGGACUUAGUGAUCCGGUGGUUCCGCAUGGAAGGGCCAUCGCUCAACGGAUAAAAGCUACCCCGGGGAUAACAGGCUUAUCUCCCCCAAGAGUUCACAUCGACGGGGAGGUUUGGCACCUCGAUGUCGGCUCAUCGCAUCCUGGGGCUGUAGUCGGUCCCAAGGGUUGGGCUGUUCGCCCAUUAAAGCGGUACGCGAGCUGGGUUCAGAACGUCGUGAGACAGUUCGGUCCCUAUCCGUCGUGGGCGUAGGAAAUUUGAGAGGAGCUGUCCUUAGUACGAGAGGACCGGGAUGGACAUACCUCUGGUGUACCAGUUGUCGUGCCAACGGCAUAGCUGGGUAGCUAUGUGUGGACGGGAUAAGUGCUGAAAGCAUCUAAGCAUGAAGCCCCCCUCAAGAUGAGAUUUCCCAACUUCGGUUAUAAGAUCCCUCAAAGAUGAUGAGGUUAAUAGGUUCGAGGUGGAAGCAUGGUGACAUGUGGAGCUGACGAAUACUAAUCGAUCGAAGACUUAAUCAA